CCAAGCAGACCACGCACAGACAUAGGGGUCUGCAGCUUGUUUGUUUUUCAGAAGACAAUUCAUUAAAAAACCUUUUCAGCGGCUCUUCCUCAGGCAGAUCCUGUCUUACCUCUUCACAUACCUCUUCAACCUCUUCCAAGCACAAAACUCUCAAAACCCUAUUUCCCUUCUCCAUUCCUCAGCCGACCUCCCCUGCUCCUCCACCUCCAGCCGCCGCCACGCCGAGCACCACCGUCUCCAGUCGCCCCCACGCUGCCAUCCACCCCUCCAGCAGUCGUUCCACCUCUCCCCUCGUCGUCCAUCACCGGCAGUUCCGGCUUCAAGUUGCGGCUGCUGCUGUUUGUUCAUUACAACAUCGCACCCCAGUUCCGGCUGCUGCUCCCUCAUCCCCUGCUCGACCACUACCACACUAGUCGGUUUCGGUCAGCAGUGGGGUUUCUUUUGUUGAAAUGAAGCUCUCUGCAGUCGGUUUCGGUCAGCAGUUGCCCGAAGUUGGUAUUUGAUCAUAUUGUAAAACUGAUCAUAUUGGUUUUUUGAGUAUAUAAGUUUAUUUGGAGGUUAUUAGCCAACUUGCUACUUUGGAACCACUGAGUUUAUGCUCAGAUGACAUUACAACCACUGAGUUCUGAAGAGCAAAAAGAAGCAUUGCUUCCAGCGGAUUUGGGUGCUCCGAGCAAACAACCCACGAACUAUUUUUGUAAAACGUUGACUGCAAGUGACACUAGCACUCAUGGUGGAUUUUCGGUUGCUCGCCGCGCAGCUGAGAAAGUGUUUCCUCCACUUGUAAGCUAUAAUGCAUCCCACUAGGGGGUGUUUGGCAUUAUUUUGGGAAAGUGGGUGUUUGAUCA